UACGAAGGGGGCUAGCGUUGCUCGGAAUUACUGGGCGUAAAGCGCACGUAGGCGGCUUUCUAAGUCGGGGGUGAAAUCCUGGAGCUCAACUCCAGAACUGCCUUCGAUACUGGAAGACUCGAGUCCGGGAGAGGUGAGUGGAACUGCGAGUGUAGAGGUGAAAUUCGUAGAUAUUCGCAAGAACACCAGUGGCGAAGGCGGCUCACUGGCCCGGUUCUGACGCUGAGGUGCGAAAGCGUGGGGAGCAAACAGG
rnacentral:rRNA from 1 species